UCCCUGGUGGCUCAGAUGGUAAAGCAUCUGCCUGGAAUGUGGAAGACCCAGGUUCGAUUCCUGGGUCAGGAAG